GAUGAACGCUAGCUACAGGCUUAACACAUGCAAGUCGAGGGGCAGCAUGACGAAACCUUCGGGUUUUGUUGAUGGCGACCGGCGCAAGGGUGCGUAACGCGUGAGCAACUUGCCCUUAUCAGGGGGAUAACCCGGAGAAAUCCGGACUAAUACCGCAUAAAACAGGGGUCCCGCAUGGGAAUAUUUGUUAAAGAAUUAUCGGUGUCGGAUGGGCAUGCGUUCCAUUAGCUAGUUGGUGAGGUAACGGCUCACCAAGGCUACGAUGGAUAGGGGUUCUGAGAGGAAGGUCCCCCACACUGGUACUGAGACACGGACCAGACUCCUACGGGAGGCAGCAGUGAGGAAUAUUGGUCAAAUGGACGGAAAGUCUGAACCAAGCCAAGUCGCGUGAAGGAAGACGGUUCGUAUGAAUUGUAAAACUUCUUUUGUCGGGGAGUAAAGUCAGCUACGUGUUAAGCUGUUUGCAAAGUACCCGAANAAAAAGCAUCGGCUAAACUCCGU
rnacentral:rRNA from 1 species